CAAACUGCAAAUCUUUUACAACAUUUCGUGCAAUUAUUAUAAUUUUGAAAAAAUAUAGAAUAUUAAUGUAAAACACCUUCAUGCUCAACACCCCAAAGUUAAUCAAUUUAUUUAAUUAACUUAGGGCAAUGGCUCAAUUCAAAUUAAUUGGUAAUUAGCGGAUGUUAUUACCUUGAACACUAACUUAUUAGAGUAUAUCCUAUAGCGGAAAACGAAAUAAAAAUGAUCUAAUUUAACACUAAAUAUCUUUUGACAAUUCAUCAUCUAUCCUUGAAUAUAAACACAUAGCUUACAAUUAAAAUGUAACUAUGAACAAUUAAUAACUUCUAACUAUACUAAGAAAAUGUAACCUAAUAAGUCCUUUACUUAGCAUCUCCAACUAGGGGUGAAAAGGUAGGUACAGUUAGCGGUUAUUGGCUAAAAAUGCUAACUGUAACCGCUUAAAUGGUUAGUAAAAUCCACUAACCUAAUGAGUCAUUCACUUAGCAUCUCCAGCCUAGCAAAAUACUCCAUUCUAAAAUCUGGUAAACCUAUUAAUAUGCAAAACACCGACGUGGUUCACAGUGAAAAGUAACUGCGUAAGUCCUCACUUAGUAAGUAAAUUAUCACGGAGUUAGCUAUGUAAUCAGCCUUAAGUAGCAAUUUCUAAUUUUCAUCAAUCAUGUCAAGGGUUUUAGAAAUGGCUUGUGUUGUAUCUAUUAAAGUUGUUAAAUAGGUAUAAUUUCGGUAACUAAUUUCUUAUACAUGCAAGGAGAAACAUGCAUAAUAAAUAGAUUAUAGUAUUGAUCACAGCUUUCCUCUGUAUGGCCUAUUCGAGCCCUUAACCCAUUUUCAAUAGGGUUAACGCUAUUUUAAGGGACAUGUAGCACAAUACUGAUGCUCUGUAUAUUGCUGUAUACCAUCAUUGCAAAUUACACUAUAAUAUAGACACAAAACACUAAAAGUCAUAAUCUUUGCACAUAAAAUUUUAAUCAUGCGGUUGAAACCCUAAUAUGUCACUACAACCGUAAUUAAGCAUUUUUAGGCAUGGUCGAACGUUCUUUUCUAGAGGGUCGAAUGCCCGUUCUCCUAGGACAGCAACUAUAAACCUAGGAACCUAAAUCCCCAGUUUCAUGCAACCACUUAGCUUUUACCUAAUUACAGAAGUUCUAGAACACAGACACCAUUAAUUACAUAUUAACCGAAUCCAUCCUCAUAUAUCGUUUAAAACAUUCAAAGGUGGUAACUUUUAUUUAUUACACCUAACCCAUUGUUAAAAAAUCAUGGAAUGAGUGGUUAAAAACACUAUAUUAUAGUCAUUUAACUAUUUUUCAUUCUGGAAUAUAAAGUUAUCAUUUUAAUCCUCAUGCUCUCAGGUAAGAUUCAUUUAUAUAAAGAACAAUUUAACAAAUCAUGUUUUUUAUAAAUAAACAACUAAGCAUCCUUAAGGAAGAUUUAAAUAGUAAAACAUGUAUGAAAAUCAAGAGGUCAGAUUACCGUAUGUAAAAUAACUCUUGAAAAACCAAAAUACACAACUUCUUCAAGUCACUUUAGUAUACAUCUUCGGUGUAGGGGAUGGAAUAUUGGUGGCUUCAGAGCAGUGUAUGAUGUAGGAAAUUCAGUUAAUGCUAACCUGCUGGAAAGUGUUUCAAAAGUGUUGGAAUAUUUUAUAUUUUCUAAAUUAGGUUUAUUAAUAUUUUCCUUAAUAAGUUAUUUCUCUUUAUAUUAUAAUAUUUUUAUUCUUUGUAAUUAUAUUUCCUUGUAAGGUUUAUUCUCUUCCUUAAUUAAUUUAGGUCUACUUUAGAGUUUCUUGGUCACUACUCAUUGUCUCUCUAUAAAUAGAGAGUUAUGUAAUAUUGUUUGAUACAUUGAAUAUACAGAUGUAGCCCAUACAUCUCUCUCUGCUUCCGCUCUAUUUUAUUUUUCUUUCAUAUUUUAGUAUUUUAUAUAUAUUUCAACAAAAAGGUCGGUAGAUAAUGGUUUUGGCCUCCGGCAAGAUUGGAAGAGCUGGUUAGAAUACAAAGCAAGCUGGAUUUGGUAGAAAGAACUGAAAUUGAGAAACCUAUAUAUAUGAGUAAUUUCUAAGGAAUUUAUUUGAGUAUUGAAACAUGGGAUGUUCUUAGAACGAAGCAUGUUGAAGUUAAAUGGUGAAAAUUGGUAUGGUUUUCUCUAACUAUUCUAAGACAUUCUUGUGGCUUGCAAUCAAAAACAGCUUGACUACUUGGGAGAGAUUGCAAAAUUGGCUGGGGUCAUUGAAGAGACACGUUAUGCUCUUUCUGCAGAGGGUGUAUAGAAGGAAUGGAUCAUCUCUUUUUUUAGAGUAGUUUCGAUAAGAGAAUCUGGAAUAGGUAUUAAGAAGAUGUGUGAUAGAUAAUCUCUCAAAGGCAAAAGCUUAAGAGUAAUCUUGUGUAAAUUAACUUUUGGGGCUGUAGUUGAUCACAUUUGCGCAAAUUAAUGAAAUAAGGCAUGGUAAUGUGGUGAAACUAGAGAAGCGGAUUCUCAAUUGAAUUUAUUGGGAAAUCAGGACUCGAGUAAUGGGUGCUGGGAAAUUCAAGAAAUUAACAAUAAAUAAGCAUCUGUGUUGUAGAUGGGGGGUUUCAAGAUUGAAUCCUUUGUAACUAAAGCUGUUUAUCAGAUUGUUUGAGGAAGUCUGUAAAUGUCUAUGUAGUUUGCUGUAGGAGGUGGUUUCAGAGUGUAGGAAAUCGUUUGAGUAAAUGGUAGUUGGUAGGUGUCUGAGCUGCUGUGAUGUCAAGCAGUUGGUUAUUGUAAGUAGGAAUUUCCGAAUUUGUUUGGUAGAGGUGUAGAGUUUGGUUGAGCUGCUGGUUAUUAUUGUUAGAAAUAAUGCAGAAGAAAAUAACAAUUCCUGCUUGGUUUUGUUUUUAUACAGAUAACAUGAUAAAUCUUCAAACACAAGAAAAUAACCUUCUUCUACAAAUUGCUCCACACUUAACAAUUACGCAGCCAAGUUCCAGUUAAGUCUGGAGUGUGUGUUGUAGACUGAUUGUUUGAUUAGUAAAAUAAUGCUCAUUCAUACAAUUUUUUUUUUUUUUUUUAAUUUUAUAAAAUCAAAUCAAAUCAUGAAGACAAUUCUGGGAUACAAAGAAAUUUUUCUUCCUUUUGCCAAGGUCUUUGUAUGCGCAGUGGCUUGCUCAAGCUCUGGGAAAGGACUGUCACAAAGCUAACGUUUAUCUGAUUUUGGAAAAAGAGGAAUUUGAGGUUAUUUUCUAAAAGAAGCCGAAAUAUUUCGAGCUUGCAAGUUAUACUCAGUGUGUUCCCUAUAUGGCUCUCGCCCAUUCCCUAUAUGGCUUUCGCCCUUGAUCACUCACUAAUAGAAACAAUUUCAUGUUAUGGGGUAUUUCUAGAAAAUGUUUUACUCUUUGGGUUUCUAUGUUGUUGGUUUUGUUCUCUUGUGAUGUGUUGUAGGUGCCUGAGGUUGGCCCUACCUUUUGUUUUUAUGAGGUUGUUGCUGGGUUGUAAGUUGUGUUUGUUGCUGUCCCUUUAAAUGCAGGGAGUCCAACUGAUGGAGGAUAACCAGAGACUAAAACAGCUCAGCUGUUCCCCCGGAUCCCCAAGACCAACACAUCGACAGCACGUCUCUCAAGUUGGGAUGCUACUGUUCACGGCUCAAACACUGAUAUAGAAUGCUCAGAAUCCAAUCUCCACCGUUCAUAAUGUAGAUUCAUGUGUUAUGAACGUCCCUGCAAAAUUUCAGCUCAAUCGGACCACAAAAACCCAUCGAUCGGAGUUGUUGAUGAAGACUGGACAGUCCGGGUCCGGACCUCCAGAAGCCGGGUCCGGACCCCAUUUCCAGAAACUUGAUUUUUCAAGCAGGGUCCGGACCUCAAUUCCCUGGGUCCGGACCCCAGUUCCAGAAAGUGAUGCUUGAAGGAGAUGUCCGGACCUCCAGAAGUUGGGUCCGGACAUCAGUUCCAGAGAACACGUUUUUGUUGAGAUGUCCGGACACACGAAUUGGAGGUCCGGACAUCACUAGGUUACGAAUAAGUAAUCCUAGCCAUGUCCGGACCUCAGAUCUACCUUGUCCGGACACGGCAGUCUUAUGUUGUGUAUUUUUCUAUUUAAGCUACGGGAGUUUGCCAUUGUAACUUACGUAUUUUAUUUAGAAAAAUUAGAGUGCUUUGAGAGAGAGAAUUUGUUCUAGAUUAUUGUUGAAGAGAAAAUACGUGAAGCCAAUCGGAGUUCCGGUGAAAGGAAAUCUUUUAGAAGAAUCAUGUCAGAUGUUCUGGAAAGGGCUACUGAGGUAGAAGUCAAGUGGGUCACUUGUCGUGUACAAGGGAGAGUCAAAGGUUUUGUUAUUCUUCUUGUAUUCCUUAUUCUUUUAUAUAGUGAAUUGAUUUCCUGGGUUUGGCUGCCCCGGAGAGGUUUUACAUUUAGAGAGUUCUCUAAAAGGUUUCCUCUUCGUAACCAAAAUCUUUGUGUGUGAUUGUUCAUAUUUUGGUGAAUGUUUGUUUUGAUAUUUAUCUGUUUACUGCUAAGUUAGAUCUGCUUUCUGGUUAUUUUCUGUAAAACUCAUAGACGUUUGAGUUGGUGAUAAUUGGAGUCGGUUUAGAAUUUUCAAUUGGUAUCAAAGCGGGUUCACUCUGUGAAGGAUUUAUUUCCUGAGUGUGAUCCGAGACUCCAUAUCAAAUGUCUCAUACUGUUGCUCCUAAUUCUCUUCCCGUCUUUGACGGAACAAAUUAUACGCUUUGGAAAAUUCGUAUG